rnacentral:lncRNA from 1 species
CUGAUUCUGGGCAAUUCGAUAUGCCUGGAGAAUGAGAAGUUAUUCGGGAAACUGAACAUCUGAAAAUCAAUUAAGACACGAGCACUCAGUUGAAGAAAAUUAUCUGUGAGCAAGUUGACGAUAGAAGCAUAACUCAGAUGUUAAUGUAAGAGAAAUUGCUUAUGCACAUUUCCAAAUAAGAUGAUAAGCUGAAAUCACUUUUCCGCUAGCAUUUUCUCUCUUCUGCCAUCGUGAGGCACUGUUAGAAUGAUGACAGUGGUUCUACUUUCUCCAAUGUAGUAAACUCAAACGACCUCAUAUCAUUCUCUGAACCUGAAUUAGAAGAAAUGCUGGAAGACAUCAGUCGAAGUACACCAAGUUCUGGCUCGGGUUGUGAAGACAGUAGCAUGAAAACAGAAACUUUAGGAAGAGAUGGCAGUGAAAUUCAUUUCUCUACAGUUGUUUUGAGUGAAUCUUAAAUCUGGAUUUCAAAACCUUUUUCCAUUAAAUAACUUUUCUUUUCUUUAAAAUCUCAUCCUUAAGGCUAUGUUUGGUUCCCGGAAAAUUUGAGGGAAAAUGCGAGGGAAAGAAAAUGCAAAGGAAAAGUAGAAGGAAAGAAAAAGUGAAGGAAAAUAAAAAAAAUAGAUUAAAAGUUGAUAAAUUAUUUUUUUUGUUACUUCAAACUCAUUUUAUUUAUUUUAACUCAUCAAUAUAAAGAUUAAAUAAUUUAAAAAUAUAUAAGUUUUUAAUUAGUUUUAAUUAUAUUUGAUUUUCUUUGAUAUUUUUCAUAGGACAACCAAACAUGAGAAAAUCAUUUUCCUUAGCAUUUUUUUUCUUUCCUUUGUACUUUCCGGGAACCAAACAUAGCCUAAGAGUUUCUAGGCAUAAAAUCUAGAUUUUUAAUAAACUCUUUGCUAUCAUUUCCCUUCCAGCAUGCCUUUUCAUCAUUUUCAACUAAUUUUCACGAUUUUUCUCGUUUUUUUCAACAAAUAUGAAUAAACUUCAUGAUUCCAAAUAAUGGAAUUCAUAGAAUCAACUCAUGCAAAAUUCAUUAGGGCUUUGGUGGGGGCCCGACAUCCAUGAAAUUUUCUUCAAUAUAGCUUGUUUGAUAUUUGGUUGAUUGUGUUUCCUCUUUGUGGCAUAUAUGAGAUUAUUUUACACAUGUUAUUGAGCUAACCUUGUUUUCUAUUCUAGUGCUAAGCUCAUUGUCCAGGUACGCUCUCCAUGACCCCAUCCUCAAAAUUCCACGAAUAUCCAUGUCUUUGUGUACUAUGCCCUUGUUUGGUGUCAUGCUUGAAUGUCUUGAUAUAUGUUUCAUUGUUCGAUUAUCUAUGAUAAAAUGCAUGUUGGGUGAUAUAUUAUCUAAACUAACCAUUGAUGUUUUAUGAUAGCGCUUAAGAAGUGGUUCAGGUAUGCCCCCUAACUCUCCUUUAUUGUGAUUUGAUCCUGUUUGGCAUGUUAUUUUUUGUAAUCACCUUAGUCAACCUAGGUAUCCUUAGUUAAUCAAUUAACUGCCACAUCUCUCUCAACUUAGUCAAUAGAGACCUUUGUAAUACUUAGAGGAGUGCUACCUCCUAGAGGUACCUUCCCAAUAAGUAACCCGAUCCCUGGACUUAGACUCGGGUUUUUCAAAGACACGUUUUUCCAAAAAUUAUGGAGUCAUUUUUUUAGGGUUUUAUUUCUUGUUUUAUUUUCCCUUUAAAAUAAAAAUAAAAUAAGUGGCGACUCUGACUUUUCCAAAAAUUAAUUUUUCACCAAAUAAAAGCAAGUCUCGCCGAUUGAGUGGAGGCGCACGUGAAAAAUGCGGGUCCACACAUGCCUAUUAAAACAUUUUGUUUUGAUAAUCCUUUUGAGGUCUUAUAUUUUUCUGUUUCCAAUUUUUCUGAGAAUAAUGGGAUUAUUUACCAGACAUCUUUCUAUGACACUCCAUAGCAAAAUGGAACGGCAAAGAGAAGAAAUAGACACCUUUUGAAAGUUGCCCUUUUACUGUUUUUUCAUAUGCAAGUUCCAAAAAGAUUUUGGGGCAAUGUUGUCCUUACUGCUUGUUUUCUCAUUAAUCCUCUUCCAUCCAAUGCCCUUAAUAAUCAAUCACCAUUUUGCUAUUUUAUAUCUAUAUCUUUCUUUGUUUUUUGUUUUUUAUUUAUUUUUAUUUUGUUUUUGGUUUUUGUUUUUUGUUUCUUUUCCUUCCUUUUCUUCAUGAAUAUUUGCAUGUGUUGCUUUAUGCAUUAUGUGGCUACAAGUUCAAAUACGCUCUCUUUGGACCACAAAGUGCAUCUUCCUUGGGUAUUCCAAACUUAAAAAAUGAUACAAAUGUUUUGAUCCCACUUUAGGAAUAUACUUAAUUAGUGCAAAUGCAACAAUUUUUUUAGUGUCCCUUGUUUUUUCUUUUAGAGGGUUGACUCCUGAUAUACAACUCUUGUUUUCACCUUCAAAUCCUCCUCUUUUCAUUAUUCCUCUACCUAAAUUGGUUAUGUCAUCAACUCCCACUGUUCACGUGUCUAAGAAACUUUUGAAGCCUAUACAAGAAGGAAAGUGGCCACGAUUAAGAUUACUUCGCUAGUGGAGCAACCCACCAUUACAAUAGAGGUUUAUCUCCUAUAACUAAUCCGUUGACUUAAUUUGAUCCAUCUCCUCGCCAUUGCUCUUUGAACAAGUAAUAGAACUGCUAGUCAAUAUACUUUUUUUAUUUUUUUAUUUAUUUUUUAUUAGAAACAAAAUAGAUGUAUUAAUGGAGAAAAGAAAUAUGAGAAGGAAAUCCUUCCCAUGAAGUACAAGUGUGAUCAAAAGAACUAAAUAAACCUCCACUAACCAAGGAAGGUUAUAAAAAAUGUACAAAAGGCCGCUUGAUCAAAAUAACUAAGUAAACCUCCACUAAACCAAGGAGGGCUAUACAAAAGGAACAAAAGGCCUAUACAAGCAAAAGAAUCUUGACCCUAUAAACCCAACCCUAAGGUGUACAUAACGGAAGCCAUCCAAGCCGGAUUACACUCAGAAAGAAACAUAAAAAUAAAGUUGAUCCCACAUCAUCUCUGGCAUCUGCCAAAUGUCCUUAAAAACCCUAGCAUUUUUCUCUCUCCACACAAUCCACAACAGAGAGAGACAUGUGAUCCUCCAAAGGGUCUUACCUCUAAUAGAAUUCCCAAAACACUUGAGGAAAUCACCAACAUAUCACAAAUACUACUAAGCUGAACCCACUCCAUCCCAGACCUUGAUUUUUCCCAUUUUUCUUGUCUUUUCUCAAUCUUUUAUUUUGUCUUUAUCGACUAUUGUCAUUCUUAAGACUUAUCAGGGGCCUCUCUCUCAUCAUGGUUGGAAAGUUGCUAUAAAAAGGGGAGAUGACUACUUCAUGUAAUUGUGGCACAUGGGAUUUAACUACUUUAAAAUAAGGGAAAAAAAUUGUUGGUUGCAGGUGGAUUUUUGCUGUUAAACACCAUGUAAAUGAUGCCAUUGAAAGGUUAAAAGCACAACUACUUUGAAACUUUUUCACCGGUGGCUAGACUCAAUUCAAUAUGCUUGUUAAUUUCGUUGGUUAUUCAUUUUUAUUGGAAUUUAUCCUAACUUAAUGUCAAAAUUGCAUUUUUAUACAAUGAUAUACAAGAAAUCAUUUUUUCCCCCUUUUGAUGGCCAAAUGAGAUUAUAUUAAAAGUUCCAAACAAAAAAGGGGCGCACACCUAGAAUACAAGAAGUAUAUAUCUAAAAGGCAAAAAGAAACAACAAACAAGCACAACCACAUUCUAAUUACUUUGAACACAACCGCCUAGGCUUGUUGCUCAAGUGGAGUUAAGAAAGGUGUGUAAGUUGAAGAAAGUCAUAUAUGUGCUGAAACACUCCCCUUGGGCAUCUUUAGAUAAGCUUUGUAGAGUACUAGUCUCUCUUGGCUUUUCUAGAUGCCAUUAAGAUCAUCUAAUCUUUGUGAAAAAUACAAUUAAGUACAUUGGUUCUAAUUAUUCAUGUUGACGGUAUACUCAUGUAUGGCAAUACUUUGAGUGUGAUUGAAGAGUUAAAAACACAGUUGAAUAAUACAUUUUAAACUAAAAACCUGGGUUGCUUAGAUAUUUAUUGGGCAUUGAAGUUGCUCUUAUUGGUUUUGUCUCAAAAGAAAAUAUAUGUAAGAUUUAUUAAGACUAGUAUGCUAUGAUCUAAACCUAUAAAUACACCUAUGAAUCCUAAUAUGACAAGGUAGCUUGUGUAGAUUAUGUUGAUACAAGAAGAAUAGAUGUCGCAUUGGAAAACUCAAGUAUUAGACUAUGACUUAUCCUAAUAUUACCUUUGUUAUAGGUUAUCAGUCAAUAUAAGGAGAGUCCUCAAGAAGUGCAUUGGGAUGCCUUUAGUUGCAUUCUUAGAUAUCUAAAAGGGAUAGUUUGAAUGGGUAUUUUAUAUAAGAAGAGCACUAAACUUAACAUUUUCAAUUAUUCAUCUGUUGAUUAGGUUGGUUCUAAAUCUAACAAGCAAUCUACUAGUGGGUAUUGGUAUUGUACUUUUGUGGAAGGGUAUAUGAUAACAUGGAAAAGCAAGAAGCAAAAUGUUGUGGCCAAAUAUAGCACUAAGGCUGAGGCAGAGUAUCAUGCUAUGGCCCGUGCUGCUUGUAAGCUCAUGUGAAUAAAAAACCUUAUCAAGGAAUUCUAUGUUGAAACUAAGAAGCCUACGAUUAUGUUUUGUGAUAAUCAAGUCGCUAAAAGUAUUGCAAGUAAUCUUAUGUUUCAUGAGCACACUAAACAUAUUAAGGCGGAUUGUCAUUUCAUUUGGAAAGUAAUGAUGAUAAGUUAUGUGAUCACUUCUUAUGUUAGAAGAGAAAACCAACUUGGAGACAUAUUUACCAAGGUCAUUUUCCAAAAAUCUGUUUUUAUAUAUCUGUUCCAAGCCUGGAAUUGAAUAUUUCUUUACUCCAUCUUGAGGGGGAGUGUAAAAGAUUAUUUGAGUGUCUAUUAUUGUAUUUUGAGUGUCAGGAUUAUUAUAGGGCUGUUUUAUUUUAUUAUUUUCUAAUUAAUAAAAAAAAAAAAGGGAGAGGCACAUUACUUCACUCAUUUCUUGUUCUUUAACAACACUAAUGCAAAAAACUCUUGCAGAUUAGUUACAUUGUCAAGGCUUCCAUCUCCCAUUGUUUCAUCCUUAUCAUUUAUUUUCCUUAUGGAUUGCAAAGACAUGUAUAUUAUGCACACACCCCUGUAGACAAGAACAUCCAUAAUCAGCCACAUUAAAGUCCUUUUCCAAUCAAUUUUCCGCACACAAAACCAUGAUGGCAAAUUAAGAGUUCAGGAGUGCAACCAGAGAAUAUACUCAAUCAAUAUUCUGAAAAGUUCAAGAAUGAAAUUUUGGUGGGGGAAGUUUCCUUACAUGUUUGAAUUUAUAAAGGACAACAGUAAGUUAUUUGGAAUAAUAAAGUAGUUUCACAAAUAAAUCCAGAACCAUUUGAAUAGCUAAAUGAGAUUUCAUUUAGCCAAUUGCAGGCAUGUGCCAAACUAUCACCCAGAAAAACUAGAGAGCUCAAAAACACAUGGCUAUCCCUAUGCUAGGUUAUUAGCCAGAAAAAAACAAAAAAUUAACAAUAUUUAUCGACAUUACAAACUCAUUUUAUGGAAUAAAAAAUAACAAAAGAUACCAAUUUCAUUUCUUGAGUUCAAUGCAGUUAAGAAAAAUUAUAUAAUGGUACAAUAAGAAGGAAAAUACACUACUCUGUAAAUAUUAAAUUUUAAACAAACAGAAAAAUCACUUAAAUAAAUCCAAGAAAUAGAAAUAGAGCUAAGAAGGUAAUGGCAUCCUUAAAAAGUGUGCCUUGAUAUGAGCAUAAUAACAAACAACAAAACCACUUGAAUAAAACCUUGAAGAACAAGGGAUUGAAAGAAGGGAAUCAAAUCCCGUAGGUUUAAAGCUACAUUCAAAGAAUCAGUGUUAAGACAAUUAGUAUGAGCUCCCAUCUUCAUAAUGAUACUGGAAUUUUGUGGGAAGGACAUUUCAUCCUUCUCUUGAACUAUACUAUUAUCAAUAUAUAUUUUGUUUAUGAUAAAAAUAAAUAAAUAAGGAUACUGGUGACUCAUGCCCAAUUGGUGUCUCAGCUGAUUUGUGUUCAGCUGGUGCUCCUUGAUUGAGGAAGUGAUCAACAAAAUUUAUACCUAUAACACCAUACACUAGGGUAGCAAAUACAAAGCUACUAUAGUAUAGUGGCUCUAAGGAUCGUUCACUGGGAAUGAUUUGCAAGCAAUCAAGGAUACCAAUUCCAAGUGAAUUGGUUUUGUUUCAUUUCACGGUUAGUUUAAGAAAUAAAACACAAACUUUGAUUGGUAAAGGUUGAGACUUAAACUAACUAACUUAACAGAAGUUUGGAAUAAUUUAGGAAGAAAAGCAUUCCUUGGAGAUUUAGGUUCACUGGGGUGGUUCCUCAUGCAAAAGACAUAGCUCCGGUCAGAUGGUUCAUUUCCUCGCAUUAGAGAUUCAACUUAUAGUCAAUUCUCUAACCGGUGAUGUACAGAGACUCCUUCAAUUAGAUUUCACUUUAAUUCUCUCACUGAUACAACUUGCAAUGGUUCAUGCCUCUCACGAGCACUUACCAUUCAAGGUGAUCUUUAACCUUGGACUUCCCUUCACAAACUCGCAAGAGAUAACUAAUGGAUGUCUCCUAGGAGUCCAAAAGCUUACCAAGUGUUGGUAAUUCCAGAAAAUCCUACCUUGAAGUCACCUACCAGAGGCUCGCAAGGGGUAAACUAGUGCAUUUCCACGGUUGGAAAUCACUUGCCUUACCAAGUGUUGGCCCAGGUGACUCUAAGAUGUUUUAAGUUAACUAAAAACAUUGAAAUCACUGAAGGAUUUCACUUCCUCUUCAUUAAAAACUAAAACCACGGAGCUUUGCAUUCUUGCACUUGGAACCUUCCCCGGCAACCUUAGCUCCAAGGAAUUGGAGGUUUAGUUACUCAUUCUCUGGGGAAAACUCCUCAGAGAAUUCAUAACUUAGAAAUAAAAUGAAAAUACAAAGUGAGAAGGUAAGGCAGUAGAAAGAAAAGACCUUUUACUUACUUCCCAAAAUGUUUACAGAAGGAACUCCUCUCUGAGAACAUGCUCUCGAGAGGUAUUUAUAUUAAAGCAAUAUAAAACUAAUUCUUACACUGAUAUUUGGUCUUUUUACUAACUUAAAAACUAAGGAAUCAUGUAAUUGGUGGUUUACAAGGAGUAUUUUGGGAUUUAGACAACAAAAAAUCUAAUGGAAAAUAUCUCCCAAUGUCGGUAGCAAGCUUCGGGAGGCUUCAGGAGCCAUUUCGCAGGAGAAAAGUGGUGCCUGCGAAAUUUCGCAGACACCCAAGAGGGCUGCGAAAUUAUUUCGCAAGACCAAGCUAUCUUCACCAGGCUGCAAAGUUGGCUUCCAUCUUGAAGUUUCCAGCUCCCUUCUCGCGGCAUGGUUCGUGCAUCGUCAGAAGGAGAAACACCUUACUGUACAAAAGUGUUGCGAAAUUCUCGCAACAAAGUGCUGAUUCCGCAACACUUUAGAGUGACUGGCUUGUAAUGGCUGCAACUUCUUCGUUUCAACUCCAAAUUGCACACCGUUUGAAGCAUUGGAUUGUUGACUUCCUGAGCUUUGAAAUGGUAUAUAGCUUGCAUCAUUUGGACUUCAGAAAGUGCUCCAAAAGUGGCUGCUACGACUGUCAUCAAGAAUAUGCUCCAUGACUGAUCCUCUUUGCUUUUUCUCCUUGCAAUCCGGAUUCACUCUUGGCAAUUGAAUUCUAAGCUUUGCCCAAGAUUCCUCAUAGUUCUCCUCAUUCUUGACUUGCUUUGGUGAUCAAAAUACUAACAAAAACACCAAAACUUGCACAAAGUGAUCAAAAUUGCUUUAAAGGAUCCUUAACAUGCCAAUUGAGUUAAAAGGCCUAAACUACUACUCAAAAGUGUUAAAAAGGAUUAAUUAAAGGCUAUCAAAUAGCACUUUUUGAGUAGUAAUCAACUGGCAUAGAUUAAGAAAGAGUUUUUAAAGGCCCCUGGGGCUAAGGCUAGGCUCAAGGAAAAUGCCUCAAGGCAUAACCAAUAGGCUCAAGCGAACAAAAGGCUCAUAACCCAACGUGUAGGGACAGUGUUAGACAUUCACCUCAACACACUAAAAAAAGACUUCUCUUUGAAAUAUUCUUUCCAAGUCCCAACCAAAUAUAAUUCUUGAUGAAUAGAUGGGCUUAAUACCAUUUCUCAUCUUUUCUUUUUCUUUCUUUUAAUUGCUUUGUGGGCUUGAAAUUCCUAAAACUUCACUUCAAUGAUUUAUUUUUAACAUUAGAUUUAUUCCUAAAUAUUGAAGUAACACCCACCAAAAAUAAGUUAUGUUUGGAUUUGAUCAAAUCAAAAUAUGAAAUUUUGGCAUUUCCAUGAAAAGAUUAAGUUGUAAUGCUGUCCAAGUCAAUUCUCACCAAUCUGGUCCAUGAAGACUAAAAUUUCUGAAGAAAGCACUAAUACUGCAUUUGAAGAGGACUCAUCCAAGCUUCCCUUGAGCAACAUUUCUAGUGAGACCUUUCCAAAUUAUUUAAUCCUUCUAAAAUUCCUUUAAAGACAGUCUAAAUUAAUCACAAAAUAAAUUAAAACUAGAUACAACUAUAAAUGUAUCCAGAACCAAAAAUAUUUUUGGUUCUAAUAAUAAUUAGUUGGGUCUUGAUUUAAAUUGAGUUUCCAAAGAUGAAAGUGAGCCAAAUUAAGCUUUUAUUGAUAGAAUUGCUAAAGUGCACAUCAAUUAAUCGAGUAGUUUGAUCUCAGUCUUUCUUUGAAAAGUUAUAUUUCACAAGAAACAUACUUGAUACAGCCCCAUCCAAGCUCAAGUUCAUAUCUUCUCACUAAUUUGAGAUUGAGGAUUUACUUCUUAGAGAUAUUCCCUGAGAUUUUAAGAGAAAAUUCUUAAUUAAGAUUAUUCCUUUAUCAAGAACCUGUUCAUGCAAUGAAGUCCUAUUCAAUUCCUUCAAUAGAAGUGUAGGUCAAUUGUUCAAUCAAUGUUGAUGAGAUUUUGCUUCUAUUAAGUGGUAUAGAAGGCACUACUCUAGUAGGUAGCAACAAGACUAGUAGUACCAAUAACAGGCAACAUCAAUAGCUGAAACUUGCUUCCAGGAAGGCAGGUAAGUCUGAGUUAGAUGUCCUCCUUCUCCCAACAUAAGCAUUUUUGCAAAGUUCACCAGCCCACAGACAAAACAACACUUGCAUAUAACAAUCAAGCUUUAACAGGGAGCAGGACCAGAGUAUAAAACCUAAUUCAAAAGAAUGAGGGCUUGCUUUCUCAAUUACAUCUGUCAGUGAUGAUUCCUGUAUCUCUUGCUUACUGUGAUUGGACUCUGAUAGCUUAGAAAUGAUAGAUAGCUAUUUCUUUCCUGAUCACUUAGACGACCUACCUAUUUCUCUCCUAAUCCAUCACUUGCUCGUCCCUCUCUCAUGAAAGAUUGUCUCUCCCCUCCAGGAGGUUUUUACUCAUACGACUAUGACCAGUCGCUAAGAUGAUUCCCAUUCAAUCCUUUUCAUUCAACAGUCUAUUAAUACUGUCUUAUUUUGUUUCAAAUUCCUUUCUUUCCACUAGUUCUUACACAAGGUGAUUUGCAGGAAGUAAACAACCUUUCAAAAUCCACUCCUGAAUUCAAGUCCUUCGGUACUGGGAUUGAAGUGAAGUUCUUCCAAGUUGCCAUUUGCCCCAAUCCUUUCUUCCAACUUAGAAGUACCAACUGUAAAUAGCUUUAGCAUCUCUUGACAAGAAAACGUCUUUAAAAAUGUGGACGGAAGGUGCUCAACACCCCAGUAGUUGAAUGGAAUCACCUUGUGUUCCUAUUCUAAUCCUAAUAUAACCUUUUGCCAUUUUUUGUUAUGUAAUGAUUGGAAGUUGUCAUGAGUCAAGCAAUUUAUAUAGUAGAGUCAUGUCCUAAUUCUUUAAAAGAAUCAAAUCCAGGACUCAUGCACACAAGUCAACUCAGCCAAGCUUAAAAUCAGAAUUAUAAAGUCUAUUCCAUGGAUACUUUUUCACCACUUAACCCUAUCUAUUGGCUCCAAUGAUAAGCUCACAUUGUGAUAGGUAUAAUAGUAUUUGAAUCCUUACUUCUAAGGAUAGAUGAUGGCUUACUUCUAAAUCCAUCAGACUUACAUCUUCAAGUGUCUCAGUUUGUUAAACAAUGUACUUCAUCUUUUCCUUCUAGUAACAGCUAACAAUGGCAUAAGUACAUCAUUUCAAUGUAUCAUUAACCAACUAAUAUGUGAUUUUAGCAUUAUUUUGCACUUGUAGAUGAUACUACCAGGUGGACAAGACUAUUGAUAAGAAAUGCGCCUGAUUUUUUAUUUUUAUUUUUUUUGUUGGUUAAUCAGAAAAAACUUCAUUGAAAUGAAUUAGAAAUAGAAAGUAAAACAAAAGAUAAGAAAUCAUCCCAGAACUUAGAAGAUCUUAUCAAAACAAAAAAGAUAAUAUACAGUUUAACCAAGAAAACCAACAUGAUUUAUUUUCCAAUUUCAGUGCCAUUUAUGUCAUGUUUUAUAUACAAAUUAAUGAAGAAAAUAUGACUUCUCUAUAAACUAAAAAGGAAAAAUGCAAUAUAGAUAUAUGUUUUGUUCCCACAGUUCCAAAAGUAAAUUGGGAUAGUACAUUCCAUUAGUGGACUUAAAAGUCAAAAAUGAUAAUGUUAUCAAAGUCUUGUCUACAACACCUCAAUCAUUGCAAAAUUAUCAAACUCAAAAUAUAUGAACUGAGAAUAAGCAAGGACAGGAUUUAAGAAAUGGUGAUGGGAAAUCAAUCCUAGUCCAUGACUGGAGAAUAGAUUUCUAGGCAGCCAAUAACCCUUAAUGGGUUAUGCUCACUAGUGAAGAGAAUGAUAAUGAACAUUAAACAUGUAUGAUCAUUGGGAAAUCAAUCCUUGUUGCAAAUGUCAUGGAUGAUUCUCUCAAUCUCAAUUGCUUGAGCCUAGCCUAGGCAGGCUAUGCUCGUUCCAACAGAGAGAAAACUGUGAGCAAGUAGGGUGGUACUGAUGAAUUCAGGGACACGACAAAGUUUCAGAAUUUUCACUAGGUUUUAUAUAGCACUUAAUCCAAUUUUUGGUAGAAUGUUGACAUAAAAGUAAUUCAUUUACUAAUAGUUGUAUAGUUUGAGAAAAGUAAAGGAAGAGAAUUGGUGUGGAAUUGAGAGGAGGAAGAAGACAGUUUGAAGUAGAAUCAUAAUCAUUCAAGAUUUUGAUUUGAGCUAGUCAAAAGCAAGGUGGUCGGAGAGAUUACAGAGAGGAGUUGAGGCUUCUCAAAAUGGGUCAGAUUUGGCAAGAAGAGUUUGUCAAUUAUUGGUGGGGUGGAGGCCUGCUGUCUAAAAGAGGACCUGAGGCCUUUUAGGAAGAGCUGGAUAGAGGAUGGCAAGAAUUAUCAGUUAGAGUUGCAGAGUAAUGUUCCUAUUUUGUUUUGUGUGCUCAAUGGAGGCAAAAAGGUCUUCCCUAGUUUUCCUAGAAGGUAAGGGUAACUUCUCAAACCAAACCCUGUUCUUGCCUUCACUAAAGGCAUGGGGGUUAGGUUUAACUUGUGACUGCAAGAGAGCCUUCAUUUAGCAUUGCUAGGAUGAUCUCUCAUAUUGUUGAAGUUUGAAAAGGUCACCAAAGCAAACAAGGUUUUUUGGGAGGGGAGAAUUUUUAAGAAAAAGAGGUUGUUUGACAAGUGCAUCCCUAAGGUGGGUUGUUUAAGAGGAGUCCAUGCAGAGGAAGCUUGGGUGAGAAUUGUCGAGCUGCUGAUUUUCUUGUGGGAUAGGGAGUUUUUUAAGUAAUUGGGAUAUAUAUAUGGGUGUUUCAAGGCAAUAAAUGAAGACACCAUUUUUUUUUAAUGAGAAACAACAAUGUAGUAUAUUAAAUAAAGAUUUAAAAAAUAGAAAAGAAGGAUAAGAAAUCCUCCCAAAAACAAAGAACUAAACAAAUGGAACCUCCAAAUUACUAAGUAAACCUAUACACCAUAUGGAAAGUACACAAAACCACCUCUCCUUGCUAGCUUGCAUCUUUGGACCAACACACUGACAACCAAUCAUGUAGAACCACAUUGAGGGAAUUCCCUUAAAAGUUAUGGUGCAAGAGGCCCAAAAGGAAGCAAGGAAAUGAAUGGUUUCCAAAAGAACCUCUGAAGUACUUGCUUAGCUUAAAAAAUUCUAACAUUUCUUUCCUGUUGCACAACCUAUAUCAAAGCCAAACAAGUAGUUUGCCACAAUACCAAGCCUUUAUUGGAUCUCACAAUCCCUUGUAUGCAAUGGUCAUCAUGUUAAAAAUACUCUUAAGAGAAAUCCAGCCUAACUUAGUCAAUCUAAAUAAUUUAUGCCAAUAAAUGAAGACAUGAUGAAGCGGCGUAAUUUGCAAAUGGUGAGAGUUUUGAUUAAAACAGAUGGGAGAAGGUUACCAAAAAGCUGUAGGUUGUGGUGUCUAUCUUGUUUUGUCAUUCAUUUGUGGUGAGAGGUCCCACCAUGGCUUUCUUAGGUUAAACCAACGCCGCUUAAAAGGAGGCAAGAGGUUUGGGUAUGUCAUGCAUUGUGGAGAGCAUGGAGGUAAGAGGGUCAACACAUUCUUUUGAUGUGGGCCUCCCAAUAACAAACAAGCCCUCUACCAUUCAUAAAAGCUUGCUAACACAAGUACUAGCCAUUGUGAAAAGGUGUUGCUUCAAUAGUCAAUUGCGUAACAUGAGGAGUAAGGGUGGUUGCCAUCACACAAUAGAGAAGCUGGCUAAUGUAAAGGCAACUUUGUUGAGACCUAUUCCAAUCAACAAAGCUCUUAUGCUAGAAGCGUCAUGCUUUCCAAGUAUGGCUCCUCCCUCUCCUUCCUUUUGAUGGUACAAGGUCUCUCUUCCUUCUCUUCUAUCUAAAGGAAAGCAUUUAGAAGAAAGGGUGGAGUAAGCAACUUAGAGUGCACUUCGUUAAACCCGAUGGAGAGGAAAAUGGGACUCUACACAUGAUUUUGAUUGGUGGCACAUCAAUGGAGUCCAUUGAAAACAGCAUGAGAACCGUUAGUGAUGUGGGAGCAAAAGAGUUGGAAGUGGGGACUAUUGCAAUAAAGGAAUCCUUCCCCUUGUUGUUUUGAAAAGGAUUUCCACGCUUCGUGGGAUGCUUCAAUAAGCUCGCAUCUUUCAGCAAGUUUGUGGGAAUGCCAAUUGGUGGAUUUGAAGGAGAAAUCUUGGCUACUUAAGGAGGAUAAAGCUUAUGAAAAUGGGCAAAGUCUCCAAAAUUGGGUUAAAAAGGAAAUAUAUCUAUGGAUCUUGAUUUGAGAUGGAGCUUUGCAAGCUGAAGUGCUUCGUCAACCAUAGUUUUGCUUUAGGCAAAGUGAGGAGUGGGAAGAACAAUUAGGAAUUGAUCAAGGUUUGAUGAUCAAGCUUCGCAUUCUUUCUUGGAAUGUUAGAAGGGUUAAAUGAGGUUAAAAAUGGAAAUCAUUGAUUGAAUCACAUAUGAAAAAACCUUGUGUGUUUACAAGAAACCAAGGUCUAUUAAAUGACGGUACAAAUUUAGAGCAGUUUGGGUAUGGGCAAAUUCUUGGAACGGAGUGUUUUGUGGAAGCUAGAAGUCAGGUAAGGGAGACUUUAGUCUUUUAGGGCAAUAAGGUGUUGGAGUUAAUUGAUAUGAAGUGGGGUGCAUCCAAUCUCUUAUUGAUUCAAAAACUAUGAGGACAACUUUGUCUAGAUGUUUUUAAGAAUGCAUGGGUUAGCCCAAAAAGGGGGGAGAGAGGAAUUUUGGGUGAAAAUGGUUGAUGUAAUAUGGUUUUGGAAUGACCUUCAUGUAUUAGAGGAGACUUCAAUGUGAUAAGAUUCCUUGAGGUAAUGAGUAAAUGUUUAAGAUGCUCAACAACAAUGUGGCACUUUUCAAAGAUCACAAAGGAACUUCAUUUGAGGGACAUCUCUCUAGUUGGUGGUUCUAUAACAUGGACUAAAGGGUUAAAUAAUUGAUCCUCACCAAGGCUAGAUCAAUUCCUUGUUUCUAGAGAAAGAGGAACCACUUCAGUAGAUUAAUUCGAGUGUCCUCCCAAGACUGAUUUCCAACCUCACUCUCCCAUUUUAUUAAAUGGAGGAGGGAUAAGAAAUGGCAAAACACUCUUCAAGUUUGAAAAUAUGCGGCUGAAAGUGUAAGGGUUCAAAGACCUUGUUAGAAAUUGGUGGGUAGGAUGCAAUAUUAGCGGUUAAUAUAGCCACAUCUUAGCAUUCAAGCUAAAAGCAUUAAAACAUGAUCUAAAAUUAUGGAAUCGAGAUGUAUUUGAGCAUGUCACUUUCCAUAAAGUUACAACUUUAAAUUAGAUUAAUUUCUAGGAUGCUAAGGAAGUCUUUCUUUCAACCGAGGAGGUCGAAGCUAGGAGGACGGUAGUGGAUAAGUUUAGAAAGUGGGCAACAAUGGAAGAAGUCUUUUGGAGGAAAAAAUCAAAAGAUAUAUGACUAAAAAUGGAGAUAGAAAUACAGGAUUCCUUCAUAAAAUGGCUAAUGCUCAUUGAAGAAGAAAAUAUUUGACUAAAACUAGGGUCAAUGUAGAAAUGUUAUUAGAAGAUGUAGACAUAAAGAAAAGAACGACAAGUGCUUUAUAUAGUCUUCUUUUCGAGUUUGGAGCAUAAAGGAUGAAUCUCAAUGGGAUGUUUAAAAGUUUGAGUAUAGAAGAUUUAAAGUCCUUAGAGAAUUCAUUUUUUAAGGUGAAGGUCUAUUCAACACUCUUAGUUUGUAUAGCGAUAAAGCCCCUAGGGCUUUUUGGCAUUUUUGGGGGACUUUGUGAAAAAAUGAGGUGAUGAGAUUUUUUGCAUAGUUUUUUAAGUUAGGCUCUUUUAAAAGAAGCCUAAAUGCCACUUUUAUGGUGUUAGUCCCAAAAUGAAGGGGGUACAAAAGAUUUAAAAGACAUAGAUUAGUUAGGUGGAUGUGGGUGUGUGUGGGGGGGGGGGGGGGGGGGGGGGGUAUGUGUGUUUGCAUGAUGGGAAAAGAGGUUUCAACUUCUCAACAUGAAUGUGUAAAAGGUAGACAAAUCUUAGAUGUGGUCUACUAGAGUGCAUGAUACGCAUUAUAGGCUCAAAUCCUACAAGUUUAAGCUUUUAGAAAAAUUGGUUGUUCAACAUGGUAUUAGAGUCUCACCUAGCAAAAGGUCAUCUAUUUGAACAGCACUGCAUGUUUAUUUCCUCAAUUUAUUAAAAGCCUAAAAGAGGUUACUCUAUUGCCCACAUAUAAUCCCAAGGAUGAUUACACAUGAAGGAGAUGAAGAUUUCAUAAAUAGACUGCAAUAUAGAAGAAAAAUGACUUAUCAAAAGGAGGAAAGCUAACGUUGAUUAAAAAAAAAAAACUUUUCCUAGCCUACAAAGGGAUUUUGUUUAGGGAGAAGUGCUUUGAUGAAAAGCCAACGAAUUGGUUGAAUAGUUUGCACAGACGAGGGAGGGGUGCUUAGGUUUUGUUUAUUUUAAUAGAUAAAAAGCAAAUUAUAUUGAAAAAUGCUUGGAAAAGGCACACCAAGUACACAUGAAGUAUACAAAAUGCGCUAAAAGCAAGCAAAGGGAAAAUAGAAACAAACCAAAACCCAAUACAAAAAUAACACCCUAUAGUUCUAGAAAAACUGAUGGCACUCAUACACAUUGUUUUAAAAACCAGACCGGACCGGCCGGUCCAACCACUCAAACCGUUGACUGGUGUACUUUCCAGUUCAGUCCAUCACAAUGAACCGUUUUGUAGUCAACUUGACAUUAAACCGUUCAAACCGAUGGUCAAACCACUGAAUCGGACAAACCGUCCGAUUUUUUCCAAACCGAUCAGACCUUAAUUGUUAUAAAUAUUUGCUAACUAUUAAGAGGCCCAUUAUCCAUCGGGCCCAUUUCCAUGCCCAAUACUUAUAAAACUAAAACUAAUUAUAAGCUUAUAUUUGGUCCAGGCCACUAGAGCCCAAUCCAAUGGCAAGAAAGCUUAUAAAACUUAUAUUUGGGCCAUAUCUCCAAGCCUAAUUUGCUGGCAUGUUUGGCUUGGAUGUUGAAGGUAUUUAUAGAGCACUUAGAGCACAUAGAAUUCAUGUGCUUCCGAUGUGGGACUGGGACUAAUUAGAAGCAAAAUAUUACUUCUUGGAGGGCUAGACGGAUCUCAAAGUUUGAAGCCUUUUAACCAUUGAGCAUUGCACCAUAUUUAUUAAAUGGUGUUGUUAAAAAAUAUAUAUAAUAAGAAUCUAAGAUUAAUGUUUUUAUUUCAAAUUUUUAUCAUAUAAAAUCUUUAAAGAAAUGUAAAUGUUUAAAUUCCUAUUAAUUUUUAUAACAAUAAUUAUAAAAAAUAAUAUAAAUUAAUUAAUAGAAUAAUUUUAAAACAAUAAAAUACAAAGAUAAAAAGAUAAAAUUAAUUAUUAUAAAUUUUUUUCAUCUUAAAUAUAUCUUCAUUCUUAAAUAUUACAUAUUCUAUUUAAUAAAAUUUAAAAUAUUAAACUUCAUCAUUUAAUUUAAUAUACCAAAUAUAAAAAUCAAACAUUAUUAAAAUUUAUAAUUUUAUAUAUUUUUAAUUUUUUAUAAUUAUUUUUAAUUUUAUAUAAUAUACAAAUGAUAUAUUUAUUACAUCAUCAAUUCAAUCGCAAUACAACCGUCGAUCCGACCAGUGAACUGUGAACCGGUAAUUUUUCCAGUUCGAUAACUGGUCCGGUUGUGAAAACAUUGCUCAUACAUCCAACUUGCAGCCAACCAAAUAUGCUAACUCUUGACUGAAUAUAGCCUACAUCACUCCUCCCUAAUCUUGUAGCCACUCUUCACAACUCUAACCUAAACACUCAAAAUCCACUUUCCACCCACUCUUCUAACUCCACCCUUUUCCGCUAAAUUGAUUGUAAUUAACCGAGCUCUCUAAGUUCCAAAGCUGCCUAUCAAAACGAGAUAUAGACAAAGGUCUCCUCUUAAUACUUGAGACCCCAUUGUAUGACCAUUUCUAGCUUCGAACUUCCUUAAUAGAGAGACAACUUCCUUUUGAAAACUAUCCAUAGGCGAUCCCAAAGACUUGCUGAAGGAGAUGAAAUUCUUGAAAGAGGAGUCCAGCAUGUUCUUACUGGGGUUAUCUUUUCCUAGAGCCCCCACCUCACUACACAAAUCAAUGACCACACACUCGACAUCGUUGUAAGAAUUUUUUGAAACAUCCACUACCAGAUCCUCAUUGGAGAACAUCCACAAAGGUCCAUAACCACCUCCCUUGCUUUCUAAAGAAAACCCCUCGUCUUGUUCCUUCCAUAGAAUUACGCUCUUAGCCAAAUCCAUUAGCACACCCUCAUCUUUGAAAAUAGAAGAAGAAAAAGGAGAAAUCCCACCCCUCAACAACAAAACAAAAGACGAGGCCUUACCUGUGAAACCUUCCGCUUCACAGAAGAGAGCAACAUCAGCAUAUGGCACUUGUUCAUCAGCGAUCUGUGUUGCUGCCAAGAAGCAAAGGUUUAAG